rnacentral:lncRNA from 1 species
GCCAUAACCCAUAAAAAACGACUACAAACACUAAAAUUGGCCAAAAACCAUAUAAACGACCUAAAAUAGGCCAAAAACCAUAAAAAUGACUACAAACACUAAAAUUGGCCAAAAACAAUAAAAACGACUACAAAAACUAAAAUUGGCCAAAAAUCAUAUAAACGACCUAAAAUAGGCCAAAAACAUUAAAAACCACUACAAACAUAAAACGACUAAAAACACUUAAAUUGGCCAAAAACCAUAAAAACGACUACAAACACAAAAAUUGGCCAAAAACCAUAUAAACGACC